rnacentral:rRNA from 1 species
GUNUGUGAAAUUCCGGGGCUUAACUCCGGGCGUGCAGGCGAUACGGGCACGACUAGAGUGCUGUAGGGGUAACUGGAAUUCCUGGUGUAGCGGUGAAAUGCGCAGAUAUCAGGAGGAACACCGAUGGCGAAGGCAGGUUACUGGGCAGUUACUGACGCUGAGGAGCGAAAGCAUGGGGAGCGAACAGGAUUAGAUACCCUGGUAGUCCAUGCUGUAAACGGUGGGCGCUAGGUGUGGGCUGUGUGUUUGCAGUCUGUGCCGUAGCUAACGCAUUAAGCGCCCCGCCUGGGGAGUACGGCCGCAAGGCUAAAACUCAAAGGAAUUGACGGGGGCCCGCACAAGCGGCGGAGCAUGUGGAUUAAUUCGAUGCAACGCGAAGAACCUUACCUGGGUUUGACAUGCACCAGAUCGGCGUAGAGAUACGUCCUCCCUUGUGGUUGGUGCACAGGUGGUGCAUGGUUGUCGUCAGCUCGUGUCGUGAGAUGUUGGGUUAAGUCCCGCAACGAGCGCAACCCUUGUCUUAUAUUGCCAGCACAUUUUUGGUGGGGACUCAUGAGAAACUGCCGGGGUCAACUCGGAGGAAGGUGGGGAUGACGUCAAAUCAUCAUGCCCUUUAUACCCAGGGCUUCACACAUGCUACAAUGGUCGGUACAACGGGUUGCGACACUGUGAAGUGAAGCUAAUCUCUUAAAGCCGGCCUCAGUUCGGAUUGGGGUCUGCAACUCGACCCCAUGAAGUCGGAGUCGCUGGUAAUCGCAGAUCAGCAACGCUGCGGUGAAUACGUUCCCGGGCCUUGUACACACCGCCCGUCACGUCAUGAAAGUUGGUAACACCCGAAGCCCAUGGCCUAACCACCACCUGUGGUGGGG